rnacentral:rRNA from 1 species
GGGGGGGGGGGGGGGGGGGGGGGGGGGGGGGGGGGGGGGGGGGGGGGGGGGGCGGGGGGGGGGGGCUCGAGGGGGGAACGGGUGGGGGGCGCGGGAGUAACCUGCCCUUGGCGGGGGGAGAACUUCGGGGAACUGGGGCUAAUACCGGAUAGGAGCUCCUGCUGCGUGGUGGGGGUUGGAAAGGUUCGGCGGUUGGGGAUGGACUCGCGGCUUAUCAGAUUGUUGGUGGGGUAGUGGCUUACCAAGGCUUUGACGGGUAGCCGGCCUGAGAGGGUGACCAGCCACAUUGGGACUGAGAUACGGCCCAGACUCCUACGGGAGGCAGCAGUGGGGAAUAUUGCACAAUGGGCGGAAGCCUGAUGCAGCAACGCCGCGUGCGGGAUGACGGCCUUCGGGUUGUAAACCGCUUUCGCCUGUGACGAAGCGUGAGUGACGGUAAUGGGUAAAGAAGCACCGGCUAACUACGUG